CUACCGCGCGUCGAAAGGCGACGGGACGAGCGUGCAGAAGUCAGCCGAAGCCGUAGUAAGUGGCGGUUAACCGCGCCACCAAGGGC
rnacentral:ncRNA from 1 species